rnacentral:rRNA from 1 species
UACGUAGGGCGCAAGCGUUGUCCGGAAUUCUUGGGCGUAAAGAGCUCGUAGGCGGCUUGUCACGUCGGGUGUGAAAGCCCGGGGCUUAACCCCGGGUCUGCAUUCGAUACGGGCAGGCUAGAGUGUGGUAGGGGAGAUCGGAAUUCCUGGUGUAGCGGUGAAAUGCGCAGAUAUCAGGAGGAACACCCGUGGCGAAAGCGGCUCUCUGGAACGGUACUGACGCUGAGACGCGAAAGCGUGGGGAGCGAACAGG